CAAUGGGCGCAAGCCUGAUGCAGCCAUGCCGCGUGUGUGAAGAAGGCCUUCGGGUUGUAAAGCACUUUCAGUCGUGAGGAAGGUGGUAGUGUUAAUAGCACUAUCAUUUGACGUUAGCGACAGAAGAAGCACCGGCUAACUCCGUGCCAGCAGCCGCGGUAAUACGGAGGGUGCGAGCGUUAAUCGGAAUUACUGGGCGUAAAGCGCAUGCAGGUGGUUUGUUAAGUCAGAUGUGAAAGCCCGGGGCUCAACCUCGGAAUAGCAUUUGAAACUGGCAGACUAGAGUACUGUAGAGGGGGGUAGAAUUUCAGGUGUAGCGGUGAAAUGCGUAGAGAUCUGAAGGAAUACCGGUGGCGAAGGCGGCCCCCUGGACAGAUACUGACACUCAGAUGCGAAAGCGUGGGGAGCAAACAGGAUUAGAUACCCUGGUAGUCCACGCCGUAAACGAUGUCUACUUGGAGGUUGUGGCCUUGAGCCGUGGCUUUCGGAGCUAACGCGUUAAGUAGACCGCCUGG
rnacentral:rRNA from 1 species